GUAAACAGGGAAAGAGAGUGUAAGGCUACCAUUCUGACCUAUGGUGGGGCAGGGGGGACAUGGGUGGGACAGGAGACCUCAGGAAUAUUCCUCUAUGACAUGCUCAUGUGUUAAUGGGGGACCUUUGCAGCCCCAGGGGGGCAAGAGACACAGAGGCUAAGACCUCCUCAGGAAUAAAGCAGGUGCACUGACGGUGGGUAAUUCUGGCAUCUACUCCAGGCUGCAGACACUGGGCAGAACCUCGCCAGAACUCAAGGAGGUGGACGUGCCCCAGGGGACUGUGGUCCCAGUCACCUCCUGCCGCCAUGACCAAAGGCCUGGGUGGUCCUCUGAUGGGAAGGAAGUGUUUUUAUUGACCCUCAGACAGCUGCGCUGUGCCAGGCAGGGCUCCCUGGAACCAUGGGUGUGAGUGAAGGAAGAAUUGUGGCUGCCACAGGGCCAGAGUGUGGCCCCUGCUUCCUGCAGGAACUGCCCUCACCCGACCCACAUGGUUCUGUAGAGCCACCACCCACCGCCAGUGCAGGAGUGAGCUCGGGACCCAGGCCUGGACGAUCACAGAGCGCUGACCCCUGGCCCAGGGAGCAAGCUCUUUCCUGGACGAGGAGUGAGAAACCUGUGCCCCCCUGGGUACCCAAGCUGGGACGGGUGACCUGGCCCUGUCUGGGUCAUGCACCAUACCUCUGCCACGCGGAGGAAAUGUGUGGAGAAAAAGAAGCCAGCACACAGAGAGAAGCAAAGCCGAGCAACGAGAGAAACUCGAG
rnacentral:lncRNA from 1 species